rnacentral:lncRNA from 1 species
UUCAACAUACAGAAUAACACCCAGUUCUCAUCCCGUCCAGUGCCCACCUCACUAUUUUUUUUUAAAAAAACAGUAUAUUUAUGUCAAACAAUACUACUCGGCAAUAGAAAGGAAAAAAAAAACACUAUCAGAGGCAUUAGCCUCCAAAAUAUUAUGCAAAGUGAAUAAUGCCUUACACAGAACAGUACAUAUUAUAUAAACCCAUUUGUAUUAAGUUCUCAAAAAGGCAAUAGUUAAUCUGUAGUAGGGGAAAAAUGUCAAAUAAUGAUUGCCUCUGGGGAGUAGGGACAAGAUACUGACAAGGGAAGGGCUUAGGAAACUUUGUAGCACCACGGUAGGAUUUUAUUUAUAUCUUGAAAAAAGUCUGGGUUACAGUGGUGCAUGCAUUUGUUAAAAUUCAGCAAGUGGACACUAGAGAGAUGUGUAUUACAUUUUAUAUAUCAGCUCAUCCUCUAUGACAGAGCAUCGCGCGCAUACCCCAUUGGGACCACACUUGCCCAAAGAGGGCAAAGGCCACGGUGUGGAAGCUUGGCCACCGCAGCUGCUUCCGCAGACCAGGCAGCGGGGCCCGCCCGCAUACACAACUUCAAAAAUCAAAUGAGGUUGUAUAUAAUACUAUAUUCUUGUUAAUGAGAUGCAAGCUAAUGUAUUUAGGGAAAUGCUGCUAAUAUCUGCAAUUUACUUUCAAAUACACCAAAAAUAGAAUGGAUUACUGGAUGGAUAGAUGAAUAUGCAGGUGGGUAUUUGAUAAAGCAUGUAUAGCAAACUUUUAAAUGUAGACUCUAAAUGGAAAAUACAUGGAUGUUCCAUGUAAAUUUUUUUAAAAUUUUGCUGUAUAUUUAAUUAUUUUUAUAAUAAAAUGACUCCAGUCCAGAGAUUGUGAUUUAAUUACUUAGGGAGUAUGACCUAGACAUUGCUUUUGUUUUGUUUUGUUUUGUUUAGUUUUAGAAAAGCUUUUCAGGUUAUUCUAAUGUAUAGUACUCAGAUUCAAGAAUAACUUCACCAAUAUUUUCUAACUUCACCCCAGGGAAUAUAAACCAUUUCCUGCAUAUACAGCUGAUCCUUGAACAGCAUGGGUUUGAACUGCAUGGAUUCAUUUAUAUAAGAAAUUUUUACAGUAGUACUGUAAAUAUGUUUUCUUUUCCUUAGGAUUUUCUUAGUAACAUUUUAUUUUUCCUUACCUGAUUAUCAGAAUAUAGUAUAUAAUACAUACAACAUACAAAUAUGUGUUGACUAAUGUUAUUGAUACAGCUUCCAGACAAUAAUAUGCUAUUAGUAGUUAGGUUUUUUGGGGGAGUCAAAAGAUAUAUGCAAAUUUGAGUAACCUCCACACUAUUCAAUAAUCAACUGUAUUCAGUCAGAAGUAAGAAUUCUUUAAAUUUUACAAACCUUUUACAAACAUAAUGCUGCAGCCUUGCUGACUGUGAGCACUACCCUACAUGAGGGACCACAUCACCCUGCCUUACCUAUGGCAUCAGUCCCUGUGAUUGCUGGCCUUGGCAAUAAUCAAGCCCAAAUGAACUAAGCCCAUUCAUUUUCCCUAAGGAAUCAGCACUAUCUGAAUUGCUACCCUUUGCCUUUGAUUUCCCCCCAUCAUAGCUUCUUUUGUCCUGCUUGUUGCACUGAGAGCCACUGUUUGCCUGCAAACAAAUCCUGCUUGAGUUAUCAAUGACAAAAUUCAGGUAUCAGAUAAUAAGACUGAACGAGAAUAUAUUAUAGGUAAUGCCUUAUUUGACUACGUCUAAGUUGUUCCUCGAAGAACAUGAUUUUAUUUUAUCUGAUAAAAGAGUAAAAUUAUCACCUUUCCUUAUCAUCAUCAAGAUAGGUUUUUAUUACAUAUUAAUAUAUUUAAUUGUAUUACACACACAUAUAUGUAUAACACAUUAUUACAGAAUACAUUACUCCAGGUACAUGCAUAUAUGUUUCAUUAUGUGGGAUGGAAGGCAAAACAAAAGACCCUCAUUGUCUGUGGAUAAAAGCUGAGUGAUAAUUCUCUGUUAACAAACAAAGAAAAGAAAAACAAGUGUUUAGCAGAAAAUAUAUAGACACUCCAGCAAUAUAUAGAUUUUUCUUCCCAAACUGGACUGUGAACUCUUGUGCAGACAAGUAUGUUCUACUCAACUUUGAGUUUCCACUGUCAACACAGCAUAUGGCAUAUGAAGGGUUUUCAAUCGGUAAUUGAGGCUCAUGUAAAACCAAUCCAACUAAAAAGGUCUGUAUUCUUAUAUCAUGUAGCUCACAUGCAUCUAUGUGCCUGUAAAAAUUCUAUAAUUUCAAGGUUAAGUCCUACAGUCACUUUGUAUAAUAGUUGUUAAUACUGCUCUUUACAAUUAAGAAAACUGAGGCUUAUAGAGGUGAAGACAUCUUGCCAAAUUUGUCACAUUCAGAAAGUGGCAAUGACAAUAUUCUAGCCCAGGUCUAACUACCAAAAUUGUGCUCUUUUUAUCACAUCAAUCUACUUCCUACAGAGCUCAACAGAAGCAAGAAACUGUGAACCUGUCUCUCACAUGUCACAGUAUCAAUGAGGAUACUUUGGUUCUCUCAAAACCUUGAACAGAGUUCAUCACCACCACUGGAGAGCACAUAAUGUUUCCAAUAAAAUAUUUCCCCUUUAUUAUUUGUCUGACAAGCAAAGACCAGACACUCCCCUUUACCCUCUUCUUCAAGUCAUCAGACAAUUCUGAUGUUUGAGUGGAAGGAACCUGUCACAGGUAUUGUUCAUCAUUUUCCUUCAAAAGAAGGAUGUGUGCAAGCUAUACUACUGAGUAGUAUAAAUCACACACUCACCAUUGCUGCUAUGUUUAGUCUGAUGAGGGAGAGAGAAAUAAACUGCUGGCGAACAAUCAGAACUGAUGGCCUUUUUUCUGUGACAUGUCAGGCUGCUUGUAGUGCCAAUUGUCAUGGCAUCAUUUAUCUUUGUUACCAGCACCCUGAGUUAAGCAAGAAUCAGGUAUAGAAAAUGGCCUUUGCCAAGUGAAUUACUUCAGAUUGCUGUAAACACCUUCUUGGGACCAUUUACAUCUUUGACUGUGAUGCUCCCAAGUUAUCCUAUCCUAUUCUGUUUUGACAGGAGUGGAGGUUCCACAAAGCUUACAGCAUUGUAAGCUGGAACUCAGUAUAUAGCAACAAUCAAAUAUACAUGUAGUAACUAGUAGCCUAAUAAAUUUCCUUUAUACAUGAUAGGUUAAAUCAUAUCUUAGGGGAUAAAAGUUUUGGGAUGCAUCGAGCGAGCUUGCUCAU